rnacentral:tRNA from 1 species
GGAGUGGUGCUCGAGUGGCUGAAGAGGCACGCCUGGAAAGCGUGUAUACGCCAAAAGCGUAUCGGGGGUUCGAAUCCCCCUCACUCCG